UGAGUAACCUGCCCUUCACUCUGGGAUAACUCCGGGAAACCGGGGCUAAUACUGGAUAUGACUCGAACAGGCAUCUGUUUCGGGUGGAAAGAUUUAUUGGUGGAGGAUGGACUCGCGGCCUAUCAGCUUGUUGGUGAGGUAAUGGCUCACCAAGGCGACGACGGGUAGCCGGCUGAGAGGGCGAUCGGCCACACUGGGACUGAGACACGGCCCAGACUCCUACGGGAGCA
rnacentral:rRNA from 1 species